UACAGAGGGUGCGAGCGUUAAUCGGAAUUACUGGGCGUAAAGGGCGCGUAGGCGGUCUGAUAAGUGAGGUGUGAAAGGCUUGGGCUUAACCUGGGCAUUGCACUUUAGACUGUUAGGCUAGAGUAUAGUAGAGGGAAGCGGAAUUUCCGGUGUAGCGGUGAAAUGCGUAGAUAUCGGAAAGAACAUCAGUGGCGAAGGCGGCUUUCUGGACUAAUACUGACGCUGAGGCGCGAAAGCAUGGGUAGCAAACAGG
rnacentral:rRNA from 1 species